AUUGAACGCUGGCGGCAGGCCUAACACAUGCAAGUCGAGCGGCAGCGGGAGAAAGCUUGCUUUCUUGCCGGCGAGCGGCGGACGGGUGAGUAAGGUAUGGGGAUCUGGCCGAAGGCGGGGGAUAACCACUGGAAACGGUGGCUAAUACCGCAUAAUCUCUAAGGAGCAAAGUGGGGGACCUUCUGGCCUCACACCUUCGGAUGAGCCCAUAUGAGAUUAGCUAGUAGGUGGGGUAAAGGCUCACCUAGGCGACGAUCUCUAGCUGGUCUGAGAGGAUGAUCAGCCACACUGGGACUGAGACACGGCCCAGACUCCUACGGGAGGCAGCAGUGGGGAAUAUUGCACAAUGGGCGCAAGCCUGAUGCAGCCAUGCCGCGUGUAUGAAGAAGGCCUUCGGGUUGUAAAGUACUUUCAGUCGUGAGGAAGGUGUUAAGGUUAAUAGUCUUAGCAAUUGACGUUAGCGACAGAAGAAGCACCGGCUAACUCCGUGCCAGCCGCCGCAGUAA
rnacentral:rRNA from 1 species